rnacentral:rRNA from 1 species
GUAUAUUAAAGUUGUUGCAGUUAAAAAGCUCGUAGUUGGAUUUCUGGUUGGUACGGACGGUCCCGAGUCAUCGGCGAACUGUGUGUGCCGACCUUCCUCUCGGGGGCUGCGUGGUGCUUCACUGUGCUGCGUGGAAUUCGAGACCUUUACUUUGAAAAAAUUAGAGUGUUCAAAGCAGGCCUUCGCUUGAAUACAUUAGCAUGGAAUAAUGGAAUAGGACUUUCGUUCUAUUUUGUUGGUUUCUAGGACAGAAGUAAUGAUUAAUAGGGACAGUUGGGGGCAUUAGUAUUUAAUUGUCAGAGGUGAAAUUCUUGGAUUUAUGAAAGACUAACUACUGCGAAAGCAUUUGCCGAGGAUGUUUUCAUUAAUCAAGAACGAAAGUUAGGGGAUCGAAGACGAUCAGAUACCGUCGUAGUCUUAACCAUAAACUAUGCCGACUCGGGAUCGGUGGGGUAAAUUUUAGCCGCAUCGGCACCGUACGAGAAAUCAAAGUUUUUGGGUUCUGGGGGGAGUAUGGUCGCAAGGCUGAAACUUAAAGGAAUUGACGGAA